rnacentral:misc_RNA from 1 species
GAUGAAGAACGUAGUGAAAUGCGAUACGUAAUGUGAAUUGCAAAUUCAGUGAAUCAUCGAGUCUUUGAACGCACAUUGCGCCCCCUGGUAUUCCGGGGGGCAUGCCUGUCCGAGCGUCAUUGCUGCCCUCAAGCCCGGCUUGUGUGUUGGGUCUCGUCCCCCUUCCCGGGGGGACGGGCCCGAAAGGCAGCGGCGGCACCGCGUCCGGUCCUCGAGCGUAUGGGGCUUUGUCACCCGCUCUGUAGGCCCGGCCGGCGCUUGCCGAUCAACCAAAACUUUUUUCCAGGUUGACCUCGGAUCAGGUAGGGAUACCCGCUGAACUUAAGCAUAUCAAUAAGCGGAGGA